AUCCAGCUGACAAGUCCCAAAAUAAGACGAAAUGCGCAUUUUGGAU
rnacentral:hammerhead_ribozyme from 1 species